rnacentral:rRNA from 1 species
GACGAACGCUGGCGGCGUGCUUAACACAUGCAAGUCGAACGGUAAGGCCUUUCGGGGUACACGAGUGGCGAACGGGUGAGUAACACGUGGGUGAUCUGCCCUGCACCUCGGGAUAAGCCCGGGAUACUGGGUCUAAUACCGGAUAGGACUACGCGGUGCAUGCCGUUUGUUGGGAAGAUUUAUCGGUGGAGGAUGGGCCCGCGGCCGAACAGCUUGUUGGUGGGGUAGUGGCUUACCAAGGCGACGACGGGUAGCCGGCCUGAGAGGGCGACCGGCCACACUGGGACUGAGACACGGCCCAGACUCCUACGGGAGGCAGCAGUGGGGAAUAUUGCACAAUGGGCGGAAGCCUGAUGCAGCGACGCCGCGUGAGGGAUGACGGCCUUCGGGUUGUAAACCUCUUUCAGCAGGGACGAAGCGUGAGUGACGGUACCUGCUAAAGAAGCACCGGCCAACUACGUG